rnacentral:rRNA from 1 species
GUCUUGAAUGUAAAUAUAUUUCAAGUCUGACCUGCUCAAUGAUUAAUAUUAUUAAAUAGCCGCAGUAUUUUGACUGUGCGAAGGUAGCAUAAUUAUUUGUCUUUUAAUUGAAGGCUUGUAUGAAUGGUUUGACAAAAUGUAUUCUUUCUUUAUAUUAUAUUAUUGAAUUUAAUUUUUAAGUUAAAAAGCUUAAAUUUUUUUAGAGGACGAGAAGACCCUAUAGAAUUUUAUUUAAAUAUUUAUUUAUAAUUAUUUAGUAUUUAUUUGAUAUUUAUUUAUAGAUAUUUAAAUUUUAUUGGGGCGAUAGGGAAAUUAAAUUAACUUUCUUUUAUUAUUUAUUGUUGAUUUACAUAUUUUUGAUCCUAUAUUAUGGAUAUUAAGAUUAAAUUACCUUAGGGAUAACAGCGUAAUUCUUUUUGAGAGUUCAUAUCGGUGAAGGAGUUUGCGACCUCGAUGUUGGAUUAAAAUAAGUUUAAUAGUGCAGUAGCUUUAUUACUAGGUCUGUUCGACCUUUAAUUUUUUACAUGAUCUGAGUUCAA